CCUACGGGGGGCAGCAGUGGGGAAUAUUGGACAAUGGGGGGAACCCUGAUCCAGCCAUGCCGCGUGUGUGAAGAAGGCCCUCGGGUUGAAAGCACUUUCAGUGAGGAAGAACGCCUGGUGGUUAAUACCCAUCAGGAAAGACAUCACUCACAGAAGAAGCACCGGCUAACUCCGUGCCAGCAGCCGCGGUAAUACGGAGGGUGCGAGCGUUAAUCGGAAUUACUGGGCGUAAAGCGCGCGUAGGUGGCUUGAUAAGCCGGUUGUGAAAGCCCCGGGCUCAACCUGGGAACGGCAUCCGGAACUGUCAAGCUAGAGUGCAGGAGAGGAAGGUAGAAUUCCCGGUGUAGCGGUGAAAUGCGUAGAGAUCGGGAGGAAUACCAGUGGCGAAGGCGGCCUUCUGGACUGACACUGACACUGAGGUGCGAAAGCGUGGGUAGCAAACAGGAUUAGAUACCCUGGUAGUC
rnacentral:rRNA from 1 species